UGCCGCAGCGCGCGCGCAAACAGGUUUUUUGCGCGCGGUGCUAUAGCGCGGCUGUUGGAGAUGCUCUUAGUUUAUGCUGGGGCAGAGUACUCUGACUAUUGUACCCAGCUACUACUCACAGAAAAGAACAGUAAUGUACCCAGGUACGUACAAUCUUGCAGGGAGAUUGCAUUUAGACAGGUUUAGGUUUCAUUGGCUGGCAUUCAUCCUUGCAGCGAAUUCCACAGCUGAUUCAGAACAUACAUAGCUCUCGUAUCUAAACAAACAAACAAACAAACAGAAGUGAACAGGGCAAUUGUCUGUGUUGAUAUGCUGAAAGGUCAGUAUGUACUUGACACUUUGUUCUCAUUUCAUUUUUGGGUUUUCCCUACUACCUAAUAUAAUGCUCAAAUAGGAGUGUUGUGCACUGAAACAUUGUAAGCUUGGUAGGAAAAUUUAGGCCUCCCUCCUGAGUAGCAGAGUUAUUCUUAUAGGACAAAUUCUUGACGGAGUGCAGCAUGUUUGAAGCAACGACGAGUGUUUUGGUUAUGCUGGUGCGGAGAACCAAUCGAAAGCAUUGUGUGGUACCAUGCAUCUUGUGCAGAGAUGGCACAGGCUGAGGUUUCACACCAAUUAUAUUACAGUGAUUGAUCCUUGUUGGCUGUAAGAGGGAGUACAAGCUAAUUACUACUACGGUAAAUGAAGCACAAGUAUGUUGAAGGAGUCGUGCGGUGGCUUUCUUGUUCAAAUUUCCAAGAUAGUGCCUGUAGGUGUUCCUCUCAUUUGGGCGGGCACGAUACACGCCUGCUUCCUAAUUUGAGGGCUUUGUGCUGCAAUGGUGAUGCGGUAUGCAGCAGAGAACAGAACAGAAUAGAGCAGGGGGUUAUUGGGAUUCAGCGUCAGCCUCGCACCACUUGACAAGAAAUUUUUGUGUAUUCGCCGGCCUCUGUAAAUUAAAUGAAAUUGGCAUGGCCGCAUGUCUUCCAUUUGUCAAAAUAUAGAUGUACCUAGACAUGUUUUAGUACAUCUUAAUCUUGUGAUCAUCGACGAC